CCUGGCUCAGGACGAACGCUGGCGGCGUGCCUAAUACAUGCAAGUCGAGCGGACCGACGGGAGCUUGCUCCCUUAGGUCAGCGGCGGACGGGUGAGUAACACGUGGGUAACCUGCCUGUAAGACUGGGAUAACUCCGGGAAACCGGGGCUAAUACCGGAUGCUUGAUUGAACCGCAUGGUUCAAUUAUAAAAGGUGGCUUUUAGCUACCACUUACAGAUGGACCCGCGGCGCAUUAGCUAGUUGGUGAGGUAACGGCUCACCAAGGCAACGAUGCGUAGCCGACCUGAGAGGGUGAUCGGCCACACUGGGACUGAGACACGGCCCAGACUCCUACGGGAGGCAGCAGUAGGGAAUCUUCCGCAAUGGACGAAAGUCUGACGGAGCAACGCCGCGUGAGUGAUGAAGGUUUUCGGAUCGUAAAACUCUGUUGUUAGGGAAGAACAAGUACCGUUCGAAUAGGGCGGUACCUUGACGGUACCUAACCAGAAAGCCACGGCUAACUACGUGCCAGCAGCCGCGGUAAUACGUAGGUGGCAAGCGUUGUCCGGAAUUAUUGGGCGUAAAGCGCGCGCAGGCGGUUUCUUAAGUCUGAUGUGAAAGCCCCCGGCUCAACCGGGGAGGGUCAUUGGAAACUGGGGAACUUGAGUGCAGAAGAGGAGAGUGGAAUUCCACGUGUAGCGGUGAAAUGCGUAGAGAUGUGGAGGAACACCAGUGGCGAAGGCGACUCUCUGGUCUGUAACUGACGCUGAGGCGCGAAAGCGUGGGGAGCGAACAGGAUUAGAUACCCUGGUAGUCCACGCCGUAAACGAUGAGUGCUAAGUGUUAGAGGGUUUCCGCCCUUUAGUGCUGCAGCAAACGCAUUAAGCACUCCGCCUGGGGAGUACGGUCGCAAGACUGAAACUCAAAGGAAUUGACGGGGGCCCGCACAAGCGGUGGAGCAUGUGGUUUAAUUCGAAGCAACGCGAAGAACCUUACCAGGUCUUGACAUCCUCUGACAACCCUAGAGAUAGGACUUCCCCUUCGGGGGCAGAGUGACAGGUGGUGCAUGGUUGUCGUCAGCUCGUGUC
rnacentral:rRNA from 1 species